UGAAGCUGGGAGCCUUAUGACACAGGUUUGAAGACGCAAUUUGAAGCUGCGAGCGAUUAGUAGGUUUUCUUUAUGGUUUAAAUUGCUCUUAUAGAGUCCCCUCGCUGUUGUCCCUUGAAAUUUUAUUUCACAGAGGGGUAGGUUUGGCAUAUUGUAUUU